UUAAAGAAAGCCAAUAAGCGGCAUAUCACUGUUAAUGGUAUUUAGGAUGAAUAUUCCUCUUUAAU
rnacentral:tRNA from 1 species